GAGAAUCUUACAAUAUCAGAAGUGGGAUUCACAUAGCGCUUCCCGUGACCCUCCAGGAAUAUCAAGUGACCCAGCAAGACCUGACACCUAAUGAAUGUGUGAAUAGAAAACACCUAGAUGCUCAGAAGAAUGGGUAGUGAAAUAUUCGUAUUCAUAUACCAAUCAGAGAGUUUUGGCUGAUCACAGGCUGCCAACUGUUCAAACCACAUUCAAAUAAGGGCUGUGACCGUCUACGACAAGCUGGCAUCUUUCUUUAAAGAGGCACCUCUGGACCUGCAGCACCGGCUCCUCAUGAAGCUCAGAACCUGAGGACCCAGCCAUGGAGCGGUCAGCCUUCAUGGAGCAGGAUGCUGGGAGCGGGCUGGUGAUGCGUCUCCAUGAGCGGCCAGCCCUGCUGGUCAGCAGCACACCUGGACAGUCCUGGAUGCCCCCACCCCGCCACGGUCUCAAUGAGAAGGGGAGGGUGUGUGAGCUGGAAGAGUGCUGUCUAGAAACAGGCCCCUGACAUUCAAUUCUCUUCUCAUAGAGGACGAAGACUUCUCUAUCCUGCUGGCAGCUUUAGAAAAGUUUGAACAACUGACUCUUCACGGACGCAACCUUCCUUCUCUUGUCUGUGUGAUAACAGGCAAAGGGCCUCUGAGGGAGUAUUACAGCCGCCUCAUCCACCAGAAGCAUUUCCAGCACAUCCAGGUCUGCACCCACUGGCUGGAGGGCCGAGGACUACCCCCGCUUCUAGGUGUCUGCUGAUUGGUCUGCUGGCUUGCAGGGGUGGGCCUUUGUCCCUGGCCAGCGCUGGACCUGUGGAUUUCAGGACUGUGACCCAGGACCACAGGCAGAGCUCUGUUCGACCAGAGAGGGGACUGAGUGUGCUGGCAGGGCUGAGGGGUUUUUGGUGGCCCAGCCAAACACCACCUUCUCUCAAGGGCCCUGUCCUCGUCCCAGAACUGGUUGUUUUCCUCCUGUGGUCUCUGAAGGACACAGGGCAUGGCUCUGGGACAGAGCCAUGUGGUGAUGACUGUAAUGGGAGUAUGCCUGACUCCAACAAGAGGGCUGUGGCUUGAAGGUCACCUUAAGAGGCACCCCGUCCUUUGAUUUCACCCUGGAGGCCCAGAGUAACUCUUCUGGAAGCCCCAUCAUGUCCAUGCCUGACAGCGCCCAUUGUUCCCUUUUCCCAGAGCCAAGAGCUGGGUAGAGCUGCAAGGACAGUGCCUGCACAGGGUGCUCAGGGCUGGGCAUUACCUGCUGCAAUGACAACAUCUAGCUGGAAGGCAGAGCGCUGAUGGACCGUCACUACGUCCCAGUCCAGCGCUGGGCCAUUGUCACCCUAGGGCUGUCUAAGUUGGCAGUGAUGUCUGCCUCUAAUGAGAGGCCAUUGAGAAGGACAUUUCCUUGGAGCUGCUCGAGGACUCGGCUGUGACAGUCGCUGAAGAUGUAUGCCCGGGGGCGGCAUAUCUUGCAGAUGGCCAGGCCUGUGAGGCUGGCACCACUGCCAAGCUCUAAGACAGACCUGGCGAGAGGAAAGGGGACCGUGUCUGCGACUGCACCAGGGUAAGCCCGCCUCGGUGCCCUGCCCUGCGCCCCAAGGUCACCUGUGAGUGAAGGCUGCCGGGUUCUCGAUGGCCCAUUCUGCAAUGUAGAGGGCGGCAUCCCAUGUGACCAGACCCGUGGUGCUGUGGGAGAUGAUGGCCAUGCUUUCGGAGAGUGUGACCGAGCCUCCCGAGGGCUGCACCAAGAGAGGGCGAGAGAGUCAGUCCAGCAAUCAGAAGGCAAGUGGCUUAGAAGACAAAUAGCCAUCCACCACAUGGCCAAAUAAACCAUGACAGGACCAA
rnacentral:lncRNA from 1 species